rnacentral:tRNA from 1 species
GUUUUGAUAGCUUAACCAAAAAGCAUCGGUCUUGUAAGCCGAAGAUUGGAGGUGAAAAUCCUCCCCAAAACA